CAUCGCCCCGGAGAGACCGCCAUCCCAGCAAGAGCCCCCGCUGACACCGCAGCCGGUCCAGAGACAGACGCCACCGCUCCAAAUCCCCCGGUCAUCACAGAAGCCACAGACAUCGCAGCCACUCAAAGUCCCCAGAGAGGAGUUCAAAAAAGAGUCACAAGAAGAGUCGAAGAGGAAACGAGUGAUGUUUCUUAUAUAUCUUCCCUUUUUAUUUUUUACCUCCAAACGGUCAUAGAACUUGCUUCUAAAUCUUGUACGAAAUUUGAGUUUUUUUAAUUUUAAGUUUACAAGUCAUUUCCAUUUUCGAUGUUGGACCACCGACAUGUCUAAGAUUUUACAAUGUAAAGCCCUCCGGUCUCAGCAGUGUGUAUGGACAGUAUAUAUUCACUCACUCCAUCUGCAGCCUUUCAGCCUCAUUCUCACACCCUCUGAGAGAGAGCAAUCUUACAGUACGUCUUCAGAUACUUAC